ensembl:lncRNA
GUUGGGAUGAGGUGGGAUGGGUUGGAAUGGGAUGGGGUGGGAUGGGUUGGAAUGGGAUGGGGUGGGAUGGGUUGGAAUGGGAUGGGGUGGGAUGGGAUGGGUUGGAAUAGGAUGGGAUGGGAUGGGUUGGAAUAGGAUGGGAUUGGAUGGGAUGGGUUGGAAUGGGGUGGGACUGGUUGGGAUGAGGUGGGACGGGACGGGAUGGGAUGGGAUGGGAUGGGAUGGGUUGGGAUGAGGUGGGAUGGGUUGGAGUGGGAGGAGGUGGGAUGGGUGGGAUGAUUUGGGAUGGGAUGGGAUGAGUUGGGAUGAGUUGGGAUGGCAUGGCAUGACAUGGCACAAUAUGGCACAGCACGGCGUGGCGUGGCAUGGCACAGCACGGCACGCUGUAAUAUGGCAAAGCAAGGCAUGGUAUAGCACAGCAUGGCACGACAUGGCAAGGCACAGGACAACAUGGCUCCACUGCAGUGCCGCGGUGCCGGCUCGCCACUGGCGUGCUGCAGCACACUGACCCAUGGCCCCGGGCUCACAGCCUCCUCCCUCUCUCACGCUGAGGCUUUGCAGGCACAGAGGAAAACUGGUCCCUGUCUGGAGCCCUCCCC